GAGUGGUAGUUCAGUUGGUUAGCUUCUUUAUCAGAGAAAGCCGGCCUGUCACGCCGGGGGGCGCGGGUUCGAGUCCCGUCCGCUCCG
rnacentral:tRNA from 1 species